GUCAACAUCCUUAACGAAUGUAAUCACGUUCUAACCUGUUGAACGUUAUCUUAGAUGACCGUAAGCACGCUUUCGGCACCUGAGCAACUUUCAGAGGCCAGACGGAUAGCCCAAAGGGUAUUCGUUGCAAUCCUCAGUCUCAAUCACCACAUCUACCAGAGGCUAUAACACUUCAACCGAAAUCGAAGCUACAUUCCGCCGGUCAUUUUAUGAUAAUCGAAACUGACGUUGGCCUACCAUACGAAAAAGUACACCCGAAGCGCACAAACAUGCAAACAGCGAGGCCGAAACUCACGCACGCCCACAAGUUCGCACACGAUAAGUUGAUUUCUCGUCGGUACGACUGACUUCAAUCGUUUCCCUUUCAA
rnacentral:rRNA from 1 species